GGUGACUCAGUGGUAGAGUGCUUGCCUCGCAUGCAUGGGGCCCUGAGUUUGAUUCCUCAGCACCA
rnacentral:tRNA from 1 species